GCAGUCGAGCGGUAAGGCCUUUCGGGGUACACGAGCGGCGAACGGGUGAGUAACACGUGGGUGAUCUGCCCUGCACUUCGGGAUAAGCCUGGGAAACUGGGUCUAAUACCGGAUAUGACCUCCUAUCGCAUGGUGGGUGGUGGAAAGAUUUAUCGGUGCAGGAUGGGCCCGCGGCCUAUCAGCUUGUUGGUGGGGUAAUGGCCUACCAAGGCGACGACGGGUAGCCGACCUGAGAGGGUGACCGGCCACACUGGGACUGAGACACGGCCCAGACUCCUACGGGAGGCAGCAGUGGGGAAUAUUGCACAAUGGGCGAAAGCCUGAUGCAGCGACGCCGCGUGAGGGACGACGGCCUUCGGGUUGUAAACCUCUUUCAGCAGGGACGAAGCGCAAGUGACGGUACCUGCAGAAGAAGCACCGGCUAACUACGUGCCAGCAGCCGCGGUAAUACGUAGGGUGCAAGCGUUGUCCGGAAUUACUGGGCGUAAAGAGUUCGUAGGCGGUUUGUCACGUCGUUUGUGAAAACUCACAGCUCAACUGUGAGCCUGCAGGCGAUACGGGCAGACUUGAGUACUGCAGGGGAGACUGGAAUUCCUGGUGUAGCGGUGAAAUGCGCAGAUAUCAGGAGGAACACCGGUGGCGAAGGCGGGUCUCUGGGCAGUAACUGACGCUGAGGAACGAAAGCGUGGGUAGCGAACAGGAUUAGAUACCCUGGUAGUCCACGCC
rnacentral:rRNA from 1 species